CGCUUCAUAGCUACAUUGAUUACUGAAGUUCAGCAUCUGACACUAUAAAAAGAAAAGAAAAAAGCCGGGGCCAGGGCGAGGGAGAAGAGGACUUUCUUUAUCAAACUCGGGAGUUUGUUCCUCCAUAGAAACUGGAGUAUUUUCGGUUAAAAUACUGACUUGCCAGCAUUCAAAAUACAAAGCUACGUGUCGCCUUCCGGCGCCGCGGGAACCGGUCAGCACUGCGGAGGCCAGGCUGCCUCCCCGCUCCCAUUUAACUGAAAAAACACGGGAUUCCCCCGCGCUCGGCUCCAGCAUUGUCUCGGCCAGCCCGAGCCGGUGGAAAGCGCGGACCAAACGCGCAGCCCCCGCUAAGCGGGUCCGCCCAAAGGGCGGGCGGUCCCAGCGAGGCUCGGCGGUGUCGCCGCGGCCGCAGGAGGACGUGAAUGUGAAGGCCCCAUCACAGCUGAUGGAUUCCUCAAGUCUGCAGCCCUUGGUUAGGUUUCUUUACCACCAUGUAACAGCCCCUCCACAUCAGUCUUGACAGUCAAAACAGCUGCUAUUAAUUCAGAGGUCAAAUUGCCUGAAUUUGGGGCUAUAAUUACAUAUGCUAAAAAAAGCACGUAUUUGAGGUAGCUAUUCUCAAGAGCUUGUAGAAAUGCGUGGUCACUAAAAGCCCUAAGGAGGAGCAGAUGGGCAAAAAUUGAACCACACUUGUAUUUGGAAAUAAAGACUUCUUUCCCAGU